AGUGAACGCUGGCGGUAGGCCUAACACAUGCAAGUCGAACGGCAGCACAGUAAGAGCUUGCUCUUACGGGUGGCGAGUGGCGGACGGGUGAGGAAUACAUCGGAAUCUACUUUUUCGUGGGGGAUAACGUAGGGAAACUUACGCUAAUACCGCAUACGACCUACGGGUGAAACCAGGGGAUCUUCGGACCUUGCGCGAUUGAAUGAGCCGGUGUCGGAUUAGCUAGUUGGCGGGGUAAAGGCCCACCAAGGCGACGAUCCGUAGCUGGUCUUAGAGGAUUAUCGGCCACACUGGAACUGAGAAACGGUCCAGACUCCUACGGGAGGAAGAAGUCGGGAAUCUUCGACAAUGGGCGCAAGCCUGAUCCAGCCAUACCGCGUGAGUGAAGAAGGCCUUCGGGUUGUAAAAUCAUUUUGUUGGGAAAGAAAAGCAGCAGGUUAAUACCCCGCUGUUCUGACGGUACCCAAAGAAUAAGCACCGGCUAACUUCGUG
rnacentral:rRNA from 1 species